GUCCUUUUGAAUUUUAUUUAAGGUCUGACCUGCCCACUGAUUUAUUUAAUGGCCGCGGUAUUUUGACCGUGCAAAGGUAGCAUAAUAAUUUGUCUUUUAAUUGAAGGCUUGUAUGAAUGGUUGGACGAGAAAAUUACUUUCUUUAUAAUAAAAUGAUUAAUUUUAUUUUUCAGUUAAAAGGCUGAAAUAUUGUUGUAGGACGAGAAGACCCUAUAGAACUUUAUAUUUAUUUUUUAUAUUAAUAUUUUUUGAUAAUAAUAUGUUGUAUAUUUAUAUAUAUUUUGUUGGGGCGACAAGAAAAUUUAUUUAACUUUUUUUUAUUAAUUUCAUUAAUUAAUGUAUAAAUGAUCCUUUACUAAGGAUAAUUAGAAUAAGUUACCUUAGGGAUAACAGCGUAAUUUUUUUGGAGAGUUCUUAUCGAUAAAAAAGUUUGCGA
rnacentral:rRNA from 1 species